rnacentral:rRNA from 1 species
CCUGUACCACCUAUAAUCGUUUUAAUCGAUGGGGGGACGCAGUAGGAUAGGCGAAGCGUGCGAUUGGAUUGCACGUCUAAGCAGUAAGGCUGAGUAUUAGGCAAAUCCGGUACUCGUUAAGGCUGAGCUGUGAUGGGGAGAAGACAUUGUGUCUUCGAGUCGUUGAUUUCACACUGCCGAGAAAAGCCUCUAGAUAGAAAAUAGGUGCCCGUACCGCAAACCGACACAGGUAGUCAAGAUGAGAAUUCUAAGGUGAGCGAGCGAACUCUCGUUAAGGAACUCGGCAAAAUGACCCCGUAACUUCGGGAGAAGGGGUGCUCUUUAGGGUUAACGCCCAGAAGAGCCGCAGUGAAUAGGCCCAAGCGACUGUUUAUCAAAAACACAGGUCUCUGCUAAACCGUAAGGUGAUGUAUAGGGGCUGACGCCUGCCCGGUGCUGGAAGGUUAAGAGGAGUGGUUAGCUUCUGCGAAGCUACGAAUCGAAGCCCCAGUAAACGGCGGCCGUAACUAUAACGGUCCUAAGGUAGCGAAAUUCCUUGUCGGGUAAGUUCCGACCCGCACGAAAGGCGUAACGAUUUGGGCACUGUCUCAACGAGAGACUCGGUGAAAUCAUAGUACCUGUGAAGAUGCAGGUUACCCGCGACAGGACGGAAAGACCCCGUGGAGCUUUACUGUAGCCUGAUAUUGAAAUUCGGCACAGCUUGUACAGGAUAGGUAGGAGCCUUUGAAACGUGAGCGCUAGCUUACGUGGAGGCGCUGGUGGG